AGUCACUGACAUUAGAUACCCCGGUAGUCCUAGCCGUAAACGAUACUCGCUAGGUGUCGGCCACGGUGCGACCGUUGUCGGUGCCGUAGGGAAGCCGUGAAGCGAGCCACCUGGGAAGUACGGCCGCAAGGCUGAAACUUAAAGGAAUUGGCGGGGGAGCACAACAACGGGUGGAGCUUGCGGUUUAAUUGGAUUCAACGCCGGAAAUCUUACCGGGACCGACAGCAACAUGAAGGCCAAGCUGAAGACUUUGCCGGAUUAGCUG
rnacentral:rRNA from 1 species